UACGUAGGUGGCAAGCGUUGUCCGGAUUUACUGGGCGUAAAGGAUGCGUAGGCGGAUUUUUAAGUCAGAUGUGAAAACCCCGGGCUCAACUUGGGGACUGCAUUUGAAACUGGAAAUCUAGAGUGCGGGAGAGGAAAGUGGAAUUCCUAGUGUAGCGGUGAAAUGCGUAGAGAUUAGGAAGAACACCAGUGGCGAAGGCGACUUUCUGGACCGUAACUGACGCUGAGGCAUGAAAGCGUGGGUAGCAAACAGG
rnacentral:rRNA from 2 species